AUUGAACGCUGGCGGCAGGCCUAACACAUGCAAGUCGAGCGGAUGAAGGGAGCUUGCUCCUGGAUUCAGCGGCGGACGGGUGAGUAAUGCCUAGGAAUCUGCCUGGUAGUGGGGGAUAACGUCCGGAAACGGGCGCUAAUACCGCAUACGUCCUGAGGGUGAAAGUGGGGGAUCUUCGGACCUCACGCUAUCAGAUGAGCCUAGGUCGGAUUAGCUAGUUGGUGGGGUAAAGGCCUACCAAGGCGACGAUCCGUAACUGGUCUGAGAGGAUGAUCAGGCACACUGGAACUGGGACACGGUCCAGACUCCUACGGGAGGCAGCCGUGGGGAAUAUUGGACAAUGGGCGGAAGCCUGAUCCAGCCAUGCCGCGUGUGUGAAGAAGGUCUUCGGAUUGUAAAGCACUUUUAGUUGGGAGGAAGGGCAGUAAGUUAAUACCUUGCUGUUUUGACGUUACCCACAGAAUAAGCCCCGGCUAACUUCCUG
rnacentral:rRNA from 1 species